CAUUGGAAGCUGGCGGCAAUCAUGCCAGGAGAAAAAAGGUCCUUACUAGUUGAUCCUCUUGGUGAGUCUCAAAUGGACAUUAAAAAAUGCCUGGAAUCAACCCGGGCGUUCAUGCGCAAGAAAGGGUGCAAUGUUUCCAGGUGGACUUGUGGCACUGUGCCCCAUCCCAGGCAGAAAGAUUCAACCUCUUGUAGUGUCUUUGCUUUGAAAUUUGCAGAACAUCUUCUUUCAAAUGAAGAAAUAGAUUUCUCAGCAAAGACACAUGAUAUAAAUAGGUACAGGCUGCAAAUUGCCACAACGCUUCUAUUAGAGACUGGUAAGUAAUAUGCACCCAAGAGAUGUUAUUGCCACCCAAAGAAUGGUCCUGACUGUGCUAUCAAUGCUUUAUACAACUCAGUUAAGUUUUACACAGGGAAGUACUAUAGCAAUCCUUCUGUCUUUGUUUUCACAGAUGAUUUAUCUAACUUGUGCUUUUUUUGUGGGGAAGCGACACAUGACAGACAACAGAUGGGUAAUUAUGUCAGGUCUUGUUAACUAAUGCAUGUGAUGAAUAUAUAUUGAAUUACACAUUCAUUGUAAAUUAUUGUCUGUUCUGUUUUCAACAGUGCGCAUUUUUAUGUUUUUAACUUCCUAACGUGUAAUAUUUUGAAAUGUAUGU